rnacentral:rRNA from 1 species
UGAGGAAUAUUGGGCAAUGGAGGAAACUCUGACCCAGCCAUGCCGCGUGAGUGAAGAAGGUUUUCGAAUUGUAAAGCUCUUUCGGAUGUGAAGAUGAUGACGGUAACAUCUAAAGAAGCCCCGGCAAACUUCGUGCCAGCAGCCGCGGUAAUACGAAGGGGGCAAGCGUUGUUCGGAAUUACUGGGCGUAAAGGGUGUGUAGGCGGGAAAGUAAGAUAGUGGUGAAAUGCCUGAGCUCAACUUGGGAACUGCCAUUAUAACUAUUUUUCUAGAGUGACAGAGAGGAUAUUGGAAUACCCAGUG